UACAGAGGGUGCGAGCGUUAAUCGGAUUUACUGGUCGUCAAGCGUGCGUAGGCGGCUUUUUACGUCGGAUGUGAAAUCCCCGAGCUUAACUUGGGAUUUGCAUUCGAUACUGGGAAGCUAGAGUAUGGGAGAGUAUGGUAGAAUUCCAAGUGUAGCGGUGAAAUGCGUAGAGAUCUGGAGGAAUACCGAAGGCGAAGUCAGCCAUCUGGCCUAAUACUGACGCUGAGGUACGAAAGCAUGGGGAGCAAACAGG
rnacentral:misc_RNA from 1 species